rnacentral:rRNA from 1 species
GAUGAACGCUAGCGGGAGGCCUAACACAUGCAAGCCGAGCGGUAUGGAUAGCUUGCUAUCCAGAGAGCGGCGUACGGGUGCGUAACACGUGUGCAACCUACCUUUAUCUGGGGGAUAGCCUUUCGAAAGGAAGAUUAAUACCCCAUAAUAUAAUGAUUGGCAUCAAUUAUUAUUGAAAACUCCGGUGGAUAGAGAUGGGCACGCGCAAGAUUAGAUAGUUGGUGAGGUAACGGCUCACCAAGUCAAUGAUCUUUAGGGGUCCUGAGAGGGAGAUCCCCCACACUGGUACUGAGACACGGACCAGACUCCUACGGGAGGCAGCAGUGAGGAAUAUUGGACAAUGGGGGAGAGCCUGAUCCAGCCAUCCCGCGUGAAGGAUGACGGUCCUAUGGAUUGUAAACUUCUUUUGUACAGGGAUAAACCUACUCUCGUGAGGGUAGCUGAAGGUACUGUACGAAUAAGCACCGGCUAACUCCGUG